rfam:Myotis lucifugus cont2.39486, whole genome shotgun sequence.
GGCAGUUCUCAGGUGAUGCACAUCGGAACUGGGCUCCCUCCUCUCUGGUUCUGGGUGUGACACCCAAGAAUCCCA